UUGAAAUGGUGGUCGGUAAAAUUGAGGACGGAUUCUCACGAUUUUUCGUAGUUCUGGGAGCGGAGUGAGGAGGAGUAUCACACGUGGAUAAUACAGGGUGACUCUCCGGCGUGGCGGCAGCGGGUGGGGAAGUAGAGAUUAGGGUUUGGAGUGAGGGAGAUUGGGGAAGAUGAUGAUGCGGUUUUUUUGUUGUUUUUUUUUACACAUGUCAAUAAUAUGCUUAGGUGUCAAUUUCUAGAUGCCACCACAUUAAUUCCGACUGCCACCGUGUCAUUUUCG
rnacentral:lncRNA from 1 species